AAUAUACUCCCUCCGUCCAACAAUUAAAGGAUGUCUCAACUUUGACUAAAUUUGAAUACAUCUAUACACUAAGUCAUGUCUAGAUACAUUCAAAUUUGGACAAAUUUGAGACAUCUUUUGUUGGACGGAGGGAUCGAGUAGUAG
rfam:Brachypodium distachyon strain Bd21 chromosome 3, whole genome shotgun sequence.